UAACGCGUAGGUAACCUGCCUGGUAGCGGGGGAUAACUAUUGGAAACGAUAGCUAAUACCGCAUAAGAACAUUUACUGCAUGGUAGAUGUUUAAAAGGUGCAAAAGCAUCACUACCAGAUGGACCUGCGUUAUAUUAGCUAGUUGGCGAGGUAACGGCUCACCAAGGCAACGAUACAUAGCCGACCUGAGAGGGUGAUCGGCCACACUGGGACUGAGACACGGCCCAG
rnacentral:rRNA from 1 species